rnacentral:rRNA from 1 species
GUACACGCUGUGACUAGCAUAUCAAUAAGCGGAGGAAAAGAAACUAACAAGGAUUCCCUUAGUAACGGCGAGUGAAGCGGGAAGAGCUCAAAUUUGAAAUCUUCAAGGUUUUACCUUGACGAAUUGUAGUUUAAAGAAGUGUUUUCUGCUGAAGUUUUGGUAAAAGUUCUUUGGAAUAGGACAUCAUAGAGGGUGAGAAUCCCGUAUUUGACCAUUAUUUUCAGCUUUGUGAUACACUUUCAAAGAGUCGGAUUGUCUGGGAAUGCAGUCCAAAAUGGGUGGUAAAUUUCAUCUAAAGCUAAAUAUUGGCGAGAGACCGAUAGCGAACAAGUACCGUGAGGGAAAGAUGAAAAGAACUUUGAAAAGAGAGUUAAACAGUACGUGAAAUCGUCAAAAGGGAAGCGUUUGACACCAGUGUUGUUUGCUCGAGAAAUCAAUGUGGAAAAUGGCUCGAUUUGUAUGGGUUGAGACCUUAUAAGCUCUACUGUACAUUUUUCGUGUCUUUUAAUGCACUUUUCGUUUAACAAGUCAACAUCAAUUUCUUUUGUUGUAAAAGGGUCAUUGGAAGGUGGCUUUCUUUUCGGAGAAGGUGUUUAUAGCCUUUGGCCUCUGCAAUCGGAGAGACUGAGGUCUGCAGCGUAGACUCUUCGGGGUUAGAUACAUUUGUGCUAAGUUAUAGCUUUUUAUAGACAACUUGUUGACUAUAAUUAGUCUUGUAGCUUACUCGCUUAUGCUAUUUUACCUACGCUUAGGAUGUUGAUCUACAGAGCGAGAGU